UCCAGACUGAUUCCGCUCAGAGAGGGAGUGCCAGCUGCACCCUGCACUGAACCAACAGCAAUCUAUUUCAAUGGAAGUAUAUCAUUAGACGUGAGACGUAUAUCAACUGUAACCAUCGUUCACUUGGGUGGUGAUCCAAAUCAGUCUGGAGCAGAAUGCACCAUAGAGAUGUACAACUCUCCUGUUGAACACCUCAAGACUGAAGACUGCAAGGAAAGAAUGCUAAUCUACACCGAGCAUCUGAAGAACAACAUACAAGUCCUCAAACACAUUGGAUCCAAAACCUGUUCCAGUCCCUCAGACACCAUCAGAGACUGUUUUGAAAGCCCUCUACUAUCAGUCUGGUUAAAUAGAAACUUUUUCAAGCACUGCAAGUAUCAAGUGUUUUAAAUUUUAUUUGACUGUUUAUUAUGUACUUAUUUGUUUUUGGUUUUAUUAAGUUUGAUAUUAAUUAGAUCAGUGCCUUUUUGGUCAUUAAUUUGAAUAUUUAAUAUUAACUGUUUAAUUUAAUCAUUCUCUCUAUUGGUUUUUAUUAAUGUUUCUAGCAGAUUAUAACAAAAAGUCAAAGAAUGUAAAUUUUAUGCCAAUCAGCCCUAUUAAGUUUAUUGCCUCAUUUGUUGGACCUUAAUUUUUUAGACGACAUUCUGGCUACAACAGCUGCCAAUAAUUUACUGUAAAGUUCCCUGUGAAUUUUACAUUUAUCAACGAAGUAUACCGUUAUGUAUUCUGCAUUCACUAUAUUUUCCACGGUGAAAUUCUGGCAACCACAGCUGCCAGUAUUUUACCGUAAUAUUCAACUUUUUAGUAUUUAUUUUAUACAGUUUCACUGUGUUUAACAAUGCAAAACUGUAAUCAGGUUAAUGGAAUGUUUGUUGUUUUUACAUGAGUUACCAUGAACAGGUUUAUGAUUCUUUAUUGUGAAUUUUACAUUUAUCAACAAAGUAUACCGUUAUAUAUUCUACAUUAUCACUAUAUUAUCCACGGUGAAAUUCUGGCAACCACAGCUGCCAGUAAUUUACCGUAAUAUUCAACUUUUUAGUAUGAUACCGUAUUAUUUUAUACAGUUUCACUAUAUUUAACGAAGUAAGACUGUAAUUAGGUUAACGGAAUGUCUGUUGUUUUCACAUGAAUUACCCAUAAACAAUUUUACAAUUUAUUUUUAAAUUCAUAGUCAUUUACUGUAAAAAUAAUAAUAAUUAUUUACUGUGAAAUUUAUGGUUACCAAAAUAGGAUACCAUUUUGUGUUCUACAUUUACAGUUUAUUUUUCACGGUGAAAUUCUGGCAACCACAGCUGCCAGUAAUUCACCGUAAAUUCUACAAUUUUUUUUUUACAGUGCACACCUUAAGUAGGAUCCGUGAUUGCUCAUCUUCAGGGCUUUUAAAAAGUAUUUUUGAUGUCCUAACAUUUGCACAUUUGCCACACAUAUUUCAGAUCAUUAAACAAAUUUUAAUAUUACAUAAAGACAAUGUGAGGAAAUCAUUUUUUAUGAUUUUAAUUUUUAAGGGGGAAAUAAACCAACCUAGUCCUGUGUAAAAAAGUAAUAACUGGCUGUGAAAUCCUUGACACCAAGAACUAUAAGUGUUUCUGAGCAUGACCGACUAUGCCAAAACAUCUCGAUUGUAUCUAAGUCCAGACUUUGACUAGGCCACUCGAAAACCUUCAUUUUCUUUUUUUUAACCAUUCACAGAUGGGCUUGCUGGAGUGUUUUGUUGUCCUAAUGCUACAUAACACAAGUGUGUUUGAGCUUUUAUUGGCCUCACAUGCAGAAGCACGUGGAACACUACAUAACACAGGUGUGUAGCUGUUUAAAAAACAAGCGGCGCAACAAGCCAACCAGAGCUCCCCUGAUCAACAUAACUACAACGUACAGUGUUUGAGAUGGUCUCCAUUUGUUUAUUGCAUCUAGAGAAAUGUAAGGGAGGGUAUAAAUAUAUCCUUGUGGCAAUGGACCACUUUACGUGAUUUGCUCAGGCUAACCCCUGCAGAAAUAAAAGUGCCAAAACAGCUGUAGAAAAAAUAUUUGGAGAUUUCAUCUUGAAGUUUGGUUUUCCAAUACGGCUCCAUCAGGACCAGGAAAGAGAGUUUGUAAACAAACUCUUUGCCAAGCUGGAAGAAUACAGUUGAGUUAAGGGAUCCAGAACCACACUAUACCACCCCUGGGGAAAUGGCCAGGUAGAAAGAUUUAGUAGAAUACUGCUGGCCAUGCUUUGCAACCUCCCAGAGGGAGCAAAAGCAGAUUGGAAAGCAUCUGUGGUAAAGGCGGUCCAUGCUUAUAACUGUAUGCGCAGCGAGGCCAGGUUGCUUACUGUUGGUGCUUACAAGUUACUGCUUACUUCCUCUUGUUUUGGCGAAACACCAGACUCCCCAUUCACAUGAUUUUUGGUCUCACAGCUAAAGCCCAAAGCCCUUCGGAUCAAGACUAUACUGAGAAGUGGAAGGCUUGCAUGAAGAAUGGUUACAAACUGGCCUCAGCAACAGCCUAUAAGGAGAGUUGACCAGGGAAAAUUUUCUAUGGCAGCAAAACGCUUGGUACGGAGCUAUACCCACAGUGCAGAUUACUGGUCUGAAAUUUCAGUGAGAAGAUAGAGGACCAGGGAAAUUGAGAUCAUUCUGGGAGGGCUAGGUGUUUUGGGUGACACAAGGGAAACAUAAGGAUAGCCCAGUAUAUGAAAUGUCAAGGGACAUAUCAGGGUUGUCCACAGGAACCUCCUGCAGUCAUGUGACUUCUUGCCAGUGGAAAAAUUCAACUGACAUGCAGAACUGAGAAAGCAAAAACAGAAAAACAGCAGGAACAUAAGCAAGAGCACAGUUAAGAGGAUGAGGAUGCAUGGAGAGGUAUCAGAGGACCUCCGACAGAACAGGGGGAACAUUUUAAAAAGCCAUGGUGGACAGAGGCAUCAGAGUUCAAUCCAGAGAGUGGAACAGUGAUACUAGAGCGACCAACAUGAAGAGGAUAUAGGGACACAAGAGAACAAUAAAGACACAGAACACACGCCCCAACUUGAGACUGAAUGCAGUGACCAAGAGGACACUGACCAGCCACCUGUCAGUGUGAAAAAGUAUCCUUUCAGAAUGAGAAAACAAAAUCUAAUGUUUACUUACCACAAAUUAGGACAGCCUACUUUGGCAUAUGAAGAAGUACCCCAGACAAGGUCAUACAUUAAAUAGUGCAGUAAAAUAGUUAUAAAAUGUAAAGUUUCAGGUUUUCACUACCGUUUUGUUAGGAGAAUAGAAAUGUUAAUUUUGUAAAGUUAGGUGCUAUUCUCAUUUGUAAUGAGAAUAGCACCCUAGCUAGGUUAUGUCCAGGUUAGAGCAUCUUACUCAGUAAAGAUACCCAUAAUAUGGAUGGAGGUUAAAGAUUAAAUUAAAGUCCUGGGAAUUUGGAUUAGUGGAAAGUGUCACGAUCCUGGAUCGGUGACCCAGUGUUUUCGGUUUUGUAUUAUUAUUUAUCCUCGAUUUUGUUAUGAUGUGUCAUUGUUAGUCUCUUGGGUUUUGAUUCUGUAUUUCUAGUCUUGGUUUGCUUUUGUUAUUCCUCCUUUGUUAGGUCUGUCUGCUUCUCUGUGUACUUCCUGUUUUUCUUUGGUAGUCUUCAGUCUGUGUGCAUCAGUUUAGCUUUCGUCAUGUGUAAUUAACCCCAGCCGUGUCUCCCAGCUGCUCCCUCUUUCCCCUGUCCACCCUCUGUAUAUGGUGUCUAGUCUUCCCCCUGUUCAGUGUCCCAUCAUAUAUGCCUGUGUGUUCUGUUCGUAGUAUUGUUCAGUUCAGUUCUGUGUUUACUAGUGCCAGCAAUGAAGCUGCUUUUUGACUUUAAGUUUCACUUCCAUGUAUGAGUCUGCAUUUGGGUUCUUCACUCCUGCCUUGACAGAGAGUGGACACUGUCAAAACCCACAGUGUAUCAAGAUUGUUAUCCCUCGCCACUGUGUUUCCACCCCCACAGAAAGUCAUCAUGGUUCUCAAUAAAUUAUGCGUUAAACUGAUAUGGGGAACAAAUCGUGAGGUAACAAAAAGGUGUUUAAUGUACAAAAGCAAAGUGAAUGGUGUGCCUGACCUUUGAAUUGAAAAUCUCUUUUAUCAAAA